rnacentral:lncRNA from 1 species
AAGUGCACGCCGCGCGGAGGACGAAGAGGCUGCACGCACAGCCGCUGCCGGGGGUCGGGGCCAAGUGCGCGCCUCGCCGAGGACGAAGAGGCUGGCGUGCCCGGUGGCUCGGCUAGCUCCCGGGUCCCGGCCCCGCCUGGAGGAUGCGGCUGUGGGGGAAUGGGAGCGGCCGGACCUCCCAGCCUGACAGUGCAUCAAGAGCUUUGCGGAGCCUACAGCCCGGAUGGGACGACUGAGGCCCUCCCGCUGGCGAGCUGGCCGAGGGCUCGUCCCUCUCCAGCUAAAGCGCCAGCUUACGAUACAGCCAAACUGCCGGCUCUCAUCGGCUGUGGGAGCAGGAGGCCCCCAGGGGUAAAUCCCGGAGCCUCGUCUCUGAAGCCUGGCGCUUGUGUCUCAGAAGAUGGAGUUCCUCUCUUGUGGCCCAGGCUGGAGUGCAAUAGCACCAUCUCGGCUCACUGCAACCUCUGCCUCCCAGGUUCAAGUGAUUCUCCUGCCUUAGCCUCCUGAGUAGCUAGGAUUACAGGUAUGCAUCACCAUGCCCGGCUAAUUUUGUAUUUUUUUUUUCUUUUGAGACAGAGUUUCGCUCUUGUUGUGUGCAAUGGCACAAUCUCGGCUCACAGCAACCUCUGCCUCCCAGGUUCAAGUGAUUCUCCUGCCUCAGCCACCUGAGUAGCUGGGAUUACAGGUGCCUGCCACCAUGCCUGGCUAACUUUUUGUAUUUUUAGUAGAGACGGGGUUUCACCAUGUUGGCCAGGCUGGUCUCAAACUCCUGACCUUAGGUGAUCCACCUGCCUCAGCCUCUGAAAAUGUUGGGAUUACAGGCAUGAACC